GGAUCAGGUAGGGAUACCCGCUGAACUUAAGCAUAUCAAUAAGCGGAGGAAAAGAAACCAACAGGGAUUACCUCAGUAACGGCGAGUGAAGCGGUAACAGCUCAAAUUUGAANUCUGGCUCUUUUAGGGCCCGAGUUGUAAUUUGUAGAAGAUGCUUUGGGUGUGGCUCCGGUCUAAGUUCCUUGGAACAGGACGUCAUAGAGGGUGAGAAUCCCGUAUGUGAUCGGCUGCCUUCGCCCGUGUAAAGCUCUUUCGACGAGUCGAGUUGUUUGGGAAUGCAGCUCAAAAUGGGUGGUAUAUUUCAUCUAAAGCUAAAUAUUGGCCAGAGACCGAUAGCGCACAAGUAGAGUGAUCGAAAGAUGAAAAGCACUUUGGAAAGAGAGUUAAACAGUACGUGAAAUUGUUGAAAGGGAAGCGCUUGCAACCAGACUCGCGCGCCGUCGAUCAUCUAGGGUUCUCCCUGGUGCACUCGGCGGUGCUCGGGCCAGCAUCAGUUUCGGUGGUGGGAUAAAGGCCUUGGGAAUGUAGCUUCCUUCGGGGAGUGUUAUAGCCCUCGGUGCAAUGCCGCCUACUGGGACUGAGGACCGCGCUUCGGCUAGGAUGCUGGCGUAAUGGUUGUAAGCGACC
rnacentral:rRNA from 1 species